AUUAGUCUUUUAAUUGAAGGCUUGUAUGAAUGGUUGGACAAGAAACGUUCUGUCUCUAAUAUAAAAUUUGAAAUUAACUUUUAAGUGAAAAGGCUUAAAUGAAUUAAAGUGACGAUAAGACCCUGUAAAAGUUUAUAUAUUAAAAACUGAAUUUAUAAAAUUGUUAGUAAAAAAAUUUUUAGUUUUUAAUAUAUUUCGUUGGGGCGACGGAGAACAUAAUAUGUAACUGUUUAUAAAUGUAAACAAAUUUAUUUGAUUAUAAUGAUCCAAUUUUUGAUUAUAAGAUUAAGUUACUUCAGGGAUAACAGCGUUAUUUAUUUUGAGAGUUCAUAUCGACAAAAAAGUUUGCGACCUCGAUGUUGAAUUAAAAGUUCUUUAUAAUGUAGUAGUUAUAAAAGAAAGUCUGUUCGACUUUUAAAUUUUUA
rnacentral:rRNA from 1 species